rnacentral:misc_RNA from 1 species
GUACUCUCACACUUCCGAUCUUGCAUUGGGAGCGGUGGACUUGGGUUUGCUGCUUUACCGUAGCUUACCUCAAAUGGGUUAGUGCAGCUCUUGGUUGGACAUAGUACGGCGUGAUAAGUAUCUUCGCUGGUGCCUCGCAAGAGGGUGGCCGAUCGGGAUGUUGUGCUCCAAACCGUCUUCGGACAAUCUCUGACA